UCAGUGUUCACAAAGCUUAGAUGCGAAAACCUGCAGCAGAUUUUUACAGAUCGCACUGUCUCAUCGGUUUUUUUUAUUGCUGUUUUUUACACAGAUGAAUAGCACCUAUUUAGAUCGCAUGUUUGAAAACAGCUAUUAACUUUUCGUAACAGAACAUUUCUGGGAUUGUUUGCUACUUGGGAUUUACAGUUGUACAUCAAACUCCAAAUGAUAAUCUGUUUGGUGAAUAUUCGCGUCAGGGAAUAGCAGCUGGAAAAGAGAAAUACAAUGGGGAAACUCCAGUCAAAACACGCAUGCAAGCGCAGAGAAAGUCCUGAAGGAGACAGUUUUGUUGUAAACGCGUACAUCACUCGGAGAGGUUUGGAGGAGUGUGACAAAUACAACGGAGUCGAGAACAGAAUCAGAGAUAGACAGGUAAGACACUUGUUUAAUAAAUCUCGCAUUUUUUAUCAUCCAAGAUGUAUACUGAAAACUUACAUUAAAACAGCAUUUA